rnacentral:rRNA from 1 species
AACGAACGCUGGCGGCAUGCCUAACACAUGCAAGUCGAACGAGACCUUCGGGUCUAGUGGCGCACGGGUGCGUAACGCGUGGGAACCUGCCCUUAGGUUCGGAAUAACUCCCCGAAAGGGGUGCUAAUACCGGAUAAUGUCUUCGGACCAAAGAUUUAUCGCCUUUGGAUGGGCCCGCGUUGGAUUAGCUAGUUGGUAGGGUAAAAGCCUACCAAGGCGACGAUCCAUAGCUGGUCUGAGAGGAUGAUCAGCCACACUGGGACUGAGACACGGCCCAGACCCCUGGGGGGGGCAGGGGUGGGAAAUUUUGGAAAGGGGGCAAAAGCCUGACCCACCAAGCCCGGGUGGGGGAUGAAGGCCUUGGGUUUUAAAAGCUUUUUUCCCGGGGAUAAAAAUGAAAGGACGGGGGAAAAAACCCCCGCCAACCCCCGU